rnacentral:misc_RNA from 1 species
ACGAAUAUCUAUGGCGUUGGUUGUAGCUGGCUCCUAGGAGCAUUGUGCACACCCGUCAUUUAUAUCAUCUUUCCACCUGUGAACCAUGUGUAGAUCUGGAUCCCUCUCGCUUUCCUGCAAAGCGGAUGCAAGGAUUGCUGCGCGUCAGCUCUCUUUGAAUUUCCAGGUCUAUGUUUUUUACACACCCCAGUUGCAUGAUGCAGAAUGAAGUCAAUGGGCCUUUCAAGCCUAUAAAACACUUAUA